AUUGCGAGAGAAUAUUUUGAUUAGAGUGGGGUAGUGAGUCCGGAAGUAUUACGAGAGGACAACGAAGUCCCACAACCCGGAGAGCACGAGACAGUGACCUACACUCUAGGGCCAAGGCUGUUGUUACGUAGCCCUGCUUUUAAAUAAACCUCCUUACACUUUGGCGAAGGUGCUGGGUAGUCUCCCAACCUGGAACUGCUUCCAGCGCCCCCAGCGAUGCCGGAAGAAACCAGCACCCAAGACCCCUCUCAGACUCAGCCCACCUUCUGUCCCGGCGUGCUGCCUCAGCGUCACCCACCGGUAUUCAGAGGGACUGAUGACCAAGACGUCGAGGACUGCUUGGCAACUUAUCAGAUGGUGAGCGCAGUCAACAAAUGGGACGAUAUGAUUAGGCUGACCAAUGUCUUAUUUUAGUUGACCAGCAUCGCCAUUCUCUGGUACUGAAAUGACGAUGCGGAGAUUCAUAACUGGGCCUCCCUCAAGACCACUUUUUCGGAAAUCUUCGGCUGCCCCGCGCUACGCCAGCGCCGCGCAGAACACCGACUUUGUGACGCGCUCAACAACCUGAAGAACCAUAGCCAGACCGCAAUCAUGAAGAAAACGACUACCAUAAUGGUCUUACUUGCCUUCUGCGUGAUGAGUUGCCAAUCUCGCCCUCAAACCAAAGGCAGAAAGAUUAUGUUUGAAGAGCGAAUCGCUUCAAGUACCUGCAAAACAUUUGUG